rnacentral:rRNA from 1 species
UACGAAGGGGGCUAGCGUUGUUCGGAAUUACUGGGCGUAAAGCGCACGUAGGCGGGUCGAUCAGUCAGGGGUGAAAUCCCAGGGCUCAACCCUGGAACUGCCUUUGAUACUGUCGAUCUGGAGUAUGGAAGAGGUGAGUGGAAUUCCGAGUGUAGAGGUGAAAUUCGUAGAUAUUCGGAGGAACACCAGUGGCGAAGGCGGCUCGCUGGUCCAUUACUGACGCUGAGGUGCGAAAGCGUGGGGAGCAAACAGG